rnacentral:rRNA from 1 species
AUUGAACGCUGGCGGCAGGCCUAACACAUGCAAGUCGAACGAGUGGCGGACGGGUGAGUAAUGUCUGGGAAACUGCCUGAUGGAGGGGGAUAACUACUGGAAACGGUAGCUAAUACCGCAUACCAUCAGAUGUGCCCAGAGGGGAUUAGCUAGUAGGUGGGGUAACGGCUCACCUAGGCGAGGAUCCCUAGCUGGUCUGAGAGGAUGACCAGCCACGCUGGAACUGAGACACGGUCCAGAUGCGUACGGGAGGCAGCAGUGGGGAAUAUUGCACAAUGGGCGCAAGCCUUAUGCGCACAUGCGGCUUGUAUGAAGAAGGCCUUCGGUUUGUAAAGUACUUUCAGCGUGGAGGCGUUACCCGCAGAAGAAGCACCGGCUAACUCCGUGCCAGCAGCCGCGGUAAUUC